rnacentral:rRNA from 1 species
UACGUAGGCAGCAAGCGUUGUUCGGAGUUACUGGGCGUAAAGCGUGCGUAGGUGGUUUGUUAAGUCUGUUGUGAAAGCCCCGGGCUCAACCUGGGAAUGGCAAUGGAUACUGGCAAGCUAGAGUGCGGUAGAGGGUAGUGGAAUUCCCGGUGUAGCGGUGAAAUGCGUAGAGAUCGGGAGGAACACCAGUGGCGAAGGCGGCUACCUGGACCAGCACUGACACUGAGGCACGAAAGCGUGGGGAGCAAACAGG